UAUCUUUAAACUACUGAUUUGUUAUUAUAUUGUUUAUCUCUAUCUCUUAUUAAAAUGAAUACUUUAUUAGAUUGUGCACUGCUUAGAAAAAUUUUAAAUUUUUAUCAUUCAUAGCUGCACUUUUUCAGUUUUUUAGUUCAAAUCGACGUUAAAUACUGUUUAAGUGUACGGAAUACAAGCUGGUACCAGGCUGCUUGACCGAGGGACCCACAACCCUAUCCCCACCAAGAAUUGCCUCACAGGAGAUAAAAUGUCACUUAUCUAGAGAGACCCCUCCCACUACGUGCCGUCAGAUAGGACCUUGAAAGAGCAACACCAGUACUGAUCGUUACCUAGAGACACAAAACGUGACGCCAAGAAGAUGCAGAGCGAGGACCAAUGGGUUACUACCACAAAGACAUAGGUGUAUUACAAAAUGGAAUACCCAAAUGUAGCCUAUUCGGAUACACUCUGGAUUGACCCAGCAUGCCCCCGCGGGAUCUGACGCCUUUGUUACCAUAGAAAGAGCCGACCGAAGGAGAUAUUACGGCUAUUAUCACGAGGCCAUUGAGCAGGAAAGAGAACGAAGAAAGAAGGAGCUUCCUGAAAGUAUGAGAGUGGAAGCCAGACACAUUCCGAUGUUAAAGAGAUAAGUGCAACUCCAGGACAAUAAAUACAAAAGUGUGCUUUUAUUCGUGCAGUAUUAUAUUUGUGUAAUAAUUGUUAAUACGUCACCGAUAAUUGGACUAUGCUUGUAUAACUAGAUGUUUAUCAAACUUGUUUU